UUCACUGGUUCCCGUAUAAUCACUAAAGUUAAGCAACGUCAAGGUUGGUCAGUACCUAGAUGGGUGACCGCUUGGGAAGACCAGGGGUUGUAAG